rnacentral:lncRNA from 1 species
CUAGAGUUUAAAAUUAGUGAAAGGCGUUCAAGAACAAUUGAUUGGCACAAGUGCUUAGGAAUACAGAGCAUGGUGUCAAGGAAGCAUCUCGGCGUUCAGACACGUCCUGCACAUUCUUCCUGGGUGUUUGGUUUUCAAAGCAGUCUCAUUACCCGAAGAACUCACCUUCACCACAGGGGCUACUGUUUUCUCCUUAGACAAAUGCCCAAGGGAUACUUGAAAUUUGGCAAAGGGACAUGGAUGAAUCAUUCUCAGCAAACUGACACAAGGGACAUGGAAACCAUCAUUCUCAGCAAACUGACACAAGAACAGAAAACCAAACACUGCAUGUUAUCACUCAUAGGCAUGUUUUUCUGUUGAGCUGGACACUUAUGACAUGAGUCAAAAAGAUCUAAAAGCAUAUUUUUAU